rnacentral:rRNA from 2 species
AAUCAAGCGCGAGAAGGGCGUUUGGUGGAUGCCUUGGCAGUAAGAGGCGAUGAAAGACGUGAUACUCUGCGAUAAGCCAUGGGGAGCCGAGAAUAUGCUUUGAUCCAUGGAUUUCUGAAUGGGGGAACCCACCUGAAUGUUCAUUAUAAUAACUUCGGUUGUUUAUAAUGUUCAUAACCAGGUACUUAAAGACUGAAUACAUAGGUUUUUAAGAGCAAACCCGGGGAACUGAAACAUCUAAGUACCCGGAGGAAAGGAAAUCAAUUGAUACUCCGCUAGUAGUGGCGAGCGAACGCGGAUCAGCCAAGCCUUGAGAGUGAAAAGAACGACCUGGAAAGGUCGGCCAUAGUGGGUGACAGCCCCGUAUUUGAAGCUCGAUGGGAUGUAUUAAGUAGGGCGGAACACGUGAAAUUCUGUCUGAAGAUCGGAGGACCACCUUCGAAGGCUAAGUACUCCUUACUGACCGAUAGUGAACCAGUACCGUGAGGGAAAGGUGAAAAGCACCCCGACGAGGGGAGUGAAACAGUACCUGAAACCGAACGCCUACAAUCAGUCGGAGCUUGACUGGACUCUAAUGAUAAUCUGAUGCAUGCCGCUUCCUGGAAACAGGGAGUUGGAUAUGGCAGACGGAACUUUUGCCAUUCUCAUGUUGGUCGCAGGACUGACGGAUAUGGGAAUGAAUUAUUGUGGCACAUCGCAGGGCUGUCUUGGCCGGAGCGACGUGACACCAAGGAUCGCCUUCUCGGGCGGUCAGGUUCUUGAACGCCGCGCAGAAACGGGAAGUGAAGUCUAUCUUCGCUAUGAUCUUGGGCGCCGUACCGGCCCCUUUGGUCAUGCGGUGGGGCUGAGUGUCGGGUCUCGGGGUGAAACCUGGGUCGGCAUUGGUCAGACCUACACGAUGGACUUUGGUUCCAGCCCGUUUUUUGCGGAAUUGCAUGCGAUGACCGGUGUGUAUGACGCCGGUGACGGCCUUGAUCUGGGCGGCGCAAUCGCGUUCCGUUCGGGUGCCGAGGUCGGUUGGGAAAACAAACGCGGUUGGCGGUUUGGUCUCAGCUUCGAUCAUCGAUCGAAUGCGGGGAUUUAUGACCACAAUCCGGGUGUUGAGACCGUGCAGCUGCGCGUGUCGGUACCAACCAGGUAACAUCGCAUCAAGAAAUGCAUCAAGCGUGAGCCGCUCUCAGGAUCUGCCCAGUGGCGAUCUGAAAGAUCGGUGUACCGGCCAAGGGUCGGCGCGAAGCGGUUGUCGCCUGCGGCGGCAACUCCAGAUUACUAUUAGUGUCCAGUCUUGUGACGGCGUACCUUUUGUAUAAUGGGUCAUCGACUUGGUCUAUCUAGCAAGCUUAAGCCGUUAGGUGUAGGCGCAGCGAAAGCGAGUCUUAAUAGGGCGCAUGAGUUAGAUGGAUCAGACCCGAAACCGAGUGAUCUAGGCAUGACCAGGAUGAAGGUAAGGUAACACUUACUGGAGGUCCGAACCCACACCUGUUGAAAAAGGUCGGGAUGAGUUGUGCCUAGGGGUGAAAGGCCAAUCAAACUCGGAGAUAGCUGGUUCUCUGCGAAAUCUAUUUAGGUAGAGCGUCAUCCGAAUACCCCGGGGGGUAGAGCACUGGAUGGGUAAUGGGGCCCCACAGGCUUACUGAUCCUAACCAAACUCCGAAUACCCGGGAGUACUAGAUGGCAGACACACUGCGGAUGCUAACGUCCGUAGUGGAGAGGGAAACAACCCUGACCUACAGCUAAGGCCCCUAAUUCAUGGCUAAGUGGGAAAGCAGGUGGGACGACCAAAACAACCAGGAGGUUGGCUUAGAAGCAGCCAUCCUUUAAAGAUAGCGUAACAGCUCACUGGUCUAAAUAAGUUGUCCUGCGGCGAAGAUGUAACGGGGCUCAAGCCAUGAGCCGAAGCUUAGGAUGCCGUAAGGCAUGGUAGCAGAGCGUAGUGUGACAUAGUUCCACGCGUCCUUGAUCCCUUCGGGGAUAUUGGACGCAGGGAGCUUUCUGUGAAGCCGGCGCGUGAGCGAUCCGGUGGAGAGAUCACUAGCGAGAAUGAUGACAUGAGUAGCGACAAAGAGUGUGAGAGACACUCUCGCCGAAAGUCCAAGGGUUCCUGCUUAAAGCUAAUCUGAGCAGGGUAAGCCGGCCCCUAAGGCGAGGCAGAAAUGCGUAGCCGAUGGGAACCACGUUAAUAUUCGUGGGCCAGGAGGAUGUGACGGAUCUCAGAGGUAGUUCAUCCUUAUUGGAUUGAAUGGGCUGCUGAGAGGUCCCUGGAAAUAGCCCUCCAUCAGACCGUACCCUAAACCGACACAGGUGGACUGGUAGAGAAUACCAAGGCGCUUGAGAGAACGAUGUUGAAGGAACUCGGCAAAAUACCUCCGUAAGUUCGCGAGAAGGAGGCCCGGUUCCUAGGCAACUAGGGGCUGGGGGCACAAACCAGGGGGUGGCGACUGUUUACUAAAAACACAGGGCUCUGCGAAGUCGCAAGACGACGUAUAGGGUCUGACGCCUGCCCGGUGCCUGAAGGUUAAAAGGAGAGGUGAGAGCCUUGAAUUGAAGCCCAGGUAAACGGCGGCCGUAACUAUAACGGUCCUAAGGUAGCGAAAUUCCUUGUCGGGUAAGUUCCGACCUGCACGAAUGGCGUAACGACUUCCCCGCUGUCUCCAACAUCGACUCAGCGAAAUUGAAUUGCCUGUCAAGAUGCAGGCUUCCCGCGGUUAGACGGAAAGACCCCGUGCACCUUUACUACAGCUUCGCACUGGCAUCAGGACUGCAAUGUGCAGGAUAGGUGGUGGGCUUUGAAGCAGGAACGCCAGUUUCUGUGGAGCCUCCCUUGAGAUACCACCCUUUGCAUUCUUGAUGUCUAACCGCGGUCCAUUAUCUGGAUCCGGGACCCUGCGUGGCGGGUAGUUUGACUGGGGCGGUCGCCUCCUAAAGAGUAACGGAGGCGCGCGAUGGUUGGCUCAGACCGGUCGGAAAUCGGUCGUUGAGUGCAAUGGCAGAAGCCAGCCUGACUGCAAGUCUGACAAGACGAGCAGAGACGAAAGUCGGUCAUAGUGAUCCGGUGGUCCCGAGUGGAAGGGCCAUCGCUCAACGGAUAAAAGGUACGCCGGGGAUAACAGGCUGAUACUGCCCAAGAGUCCAUAUCGACGGCAGUGUUUGGCACCUCGAUGUCGGCUCAUCUCAUCCUGGGGCUGGAGCAGGUCCCAAGGGUACGGCUGUUCGCCGUUUAAAGAGGUACGUGAGCUGGGUUUAGAACGUCGUGAGACAGUUCGGUCCCUAUCUGCCGUGGGUGUAGGAUACUUGAGAGGAGUUGCCCCUAGUACGAGAGGACCGGGGUGAACGAUCCACUGGUGUACCAGUUGUUCCGCCAGGAGCAGUGCUGGGUAGCUAUGAUCGGACAGGAUAACCGCUGAAGGCAUCUAAGCGGGAAGCCCCCCUCAAAACAAGGUAUCCCUGAGGACCGUGGUAGACCACCACGUCGAUAGGCCAGAGAUGUAAGCGCGGUAACGCGUUCAGUUGACUGGUACUAAUGGUCCGAUAGGCUUGAUUUG